rnacentral:rRNA from 1 species
AAUAUUGGACAAUGGGCGCAAGCCUGAUCCAGCCAUGCCGCGUGAGUGACGAAGGUCUUCGGAUUGUAAAGCUCUUUUGGCGGGGAAGAUAAUGACGGUACCCGCAGAAUAAGCCCCGGCUAACUUCGUGCCAGCAGCCGCGGUAAUACGAAGGGGGCUAGCGUUGUUCGGAAUCACUGGGCGUAAAGCGCACGUAGGCGGAUGUGCCAGUCAGGGGUGAAAUCCCGGAGCUCAACUUCGGAACUGCCUCUGAUACAGCACGUCUUGAGUCCGGAAGAGGUGGGUGGAAUUCCUAGUGUAGAGGUGAAACUCGUGGAUAUUAGGAAGAACACCGGUGGCGAAGGCGGCCCACUGGUCCGGUACUGACGCUGAGGUGCGAAAGCGUGGGGAGCAAACAGG